GCUCCGUUGGUGAACCAGCGGAGGGAUCAUUACUGGAAUCGCAAGAUCCCACAACCCUGUGAACCUACCGAAACGUUGCCUCGGCGGGUGCCCGGCCUCUGCGCCGGGCGCUGCGCCCGCCGGCGGCCCCCUACUCUGUCUCUGCAGCGUGGCAUCUCAGAGUCCCAGAAAACAAGUCAGAACUUUCAACAACGGAUCUCUUGGCUCUA
rnacentral:misc_RNA from 1 species